UACAGAGGGUGCGAGCGUUAAUCGGAAUUACUGGGCGUAAAGCGUGCGUAGGUGGUUUUUUAAGUCCGUUGUGAAAGCCCUGGGCUCAACCUGGGAAUGGCAGUGGAUACUGGAAAGCUAGAGUGCGGUAGAGGGUAGUGGAAUUCCCGGUGUAGCAGUGAAAUGCGUAGAGAUCGGGAGGAACACCAGUGGCGAAGGCGGCUACCUGGACCGGCACUGACACUGAGGCACGAAAGCGUGGGGAGCAAACAGG
rnacentral:rRNA from 1 species